AUGCUUUGAUAACCCUAUAAGGGCGUUCCCAUGUAGGGCCGAGCUUUCCGGUGUUCGGAUCCUUAGUGGAUAGGGUGACCUUCUUUAGGACAAAAUCGCCAGGCAGGAAAGAUCUAUGUCUGACUCUCUGAUUAUAGUACUUGAAAACCCGAUUCUUGUAAGUUGCUUGGUGUAUUUCUGCUUGCUCCCUCUUCUCGUCAAGGAGAUCGAGGUUGAGUCUCAACUCGAUUUCAUUGCUCUCUUUUGUUGAAAUUUGAAAUCCUAAGGCUCGGUAUAUCUAUUUCCACAAGUAUGACUGACUUUGUUCCAUAGACCAUGGAGUAUGCCAUCUCGCCUGUAGGGAUCUUGCUCGUUGUAUGGUAUGCCCAGAGUAUGCUGGGUAGAUCUUCUGCCCAUUUGUUCUUUAACUUUUCUAGCCUUGCCUUCAGAUUUCUCAAGAUAGUUCGGUUGGUGACUUCUACUUGCCCGUUUGCCCGAGGAUAACUAGGCAAGAAAAAAUGAUGGGAGAUGACGAGGUCCGAGCAAAACAGCUUGAACUUAUCAUUGUCAAAUUGUCUUACAUUGUCCGAGAUGAUAAUCUUGGGAAUUCCAAACCUGCAAAAUCCCUCGUAUUCUUCUCGGUGAUUUUGGCGAGAGGUUCAACUUCUAUCCAUUUGGUGAAAUAGUUUAUGGCGACAACAAGGAACUUCCUCUGUAAUGGAGCUUGGGGUAGAGGGCCGAGUAUGUCUAUACCCCACUAAGCAAAAGGGCAAGGGCUGGUUAUUGGCACCAUCUCGAUGCGGGAAAGAUGACGUACCGGAGCAAACCUUUGUCAUUUGUCACAUUUUCUAGUGUAGGUCGCUGCAUCUCAUUCCAUCUGUGUCCAAAAAACAUCCUUAACGAACCACUUUUCUUACUAAUGACCUCGCCCUUAGAUGAUUUCUGCAGAUGCCUUCAUGAAUCUCCUUCAGCACGUAUUCCCCUUCUUCAGGUAGGAGACAUAUCAGAAGAGGCCCUAAAAAAGAUCUUUUAUACAAUACUCCAUUAAGAAUGCAAAAUCUUGCGGAUCUAUAUUGGAUACGACAAGCUCGGAGCUUGUCUUGUGGCAAUGUGCCAUUUUGGAGAUACGUGUGUCAUCCAUUCACGUCGAACCUAUUUCUGUUUGACAGAUUGAUUUGGCGACCUCGAUACUUGGGUUAGCCAAGAACUCCAGAGGUAUACUCCUCUUUGAGCUGAAAUCAAAUGCGGAGGUAAGGUUGGCUAGAGUAUCAGCCUUCUUGUUCUCCUCUCUGGGGAUCUGGUGAAUUGGGAACUCUUUUAUGUUCUUCACCUCGUCUAAGUAAGUUGCCAUCCUUGUAUCUUUGGCGAGAUAAUCCCUUUGGACUUAGUUUACCACCAACUGGGAAUCACUAAAGGCGUUCAGGGAAUCCACUCCCAGUUCUAUUGCUUCAUAUUCUGCUUCAUUGUUGGUAACUUUAAACUUUAUUCGGACAACGUACUCCAUCUGUUUGCCUGAGGGAAUUAGGAGUACCAACCCUGCGCCACAGCCAUGCUGAUUUGAUGAUUUGCCUACAAAUAAUUGCCAUCUGGCAAGGUCUUUAUCUGAAUUUUGUGCUUCUAGGAUUUCCAUCUCAGGUGGGGCUCCUUGGGCUCCCGAGCUACGUCAUAUGUGAAUUCAGCUAUAAAAUUAGCCAAGGCUUGACCCUUAAUCGCCAUUCUUAGCCUAUAUUCGAUGUAGAAUUCACUAAGCUCAAUGGAUCACUUUAGGAGUCCUAUCGAGGUCUCAGGUCGCUGGAGGAUUUGCUUCAAAGGUUGAUCUGUCAGUACAGUUAUAGGAUGUGCCUAAAAAAUAAUGGCGAAACUUUCUAGCAGUGAUCAGGAGGGCAUAGGCGAGCUUCUCUAUUUUCAGGUACCUGGUCUCGGCUCCCAUGAGGACUUUACUAACAUAAUAUAUCGGUUUCUGAACCCCGUCCUCUGCUCGGAUUAAUACUGCACUUACAACUAUUGGCGAGAUGGAUAGGUAUACAAGAAGAUCCUCGCCCAUUGUAGGGACUGUAAGCAAGGGCGGAGAGCCGAGAUAAUCCUUCAGUUGUUGAUAUGCCACCUUGGAUUCCUCAUUCCACUAAAAGCUUUGAUUUUUCCUCAAGAUCCUGAAGAAUGGGAGGCACUUGUCAGCUGACCUAGAGACAAAUCUAUUAAGGGCGGCAACUCGCCCGGUUAACUGCUGCACCUCGUGGAUGUUCUUAGGCAAGCUUCGGAUUUGCCUCAAUUUCACGUUUGGUCACCAAAAAUCCUAGGAACUUCCCAGAUGAUACCCCAAAGAUGCACUUGGAAGGAUUUAACGUCAUCUGGUGUUUUUGCAGAACAUCGAAUGCUUCCUCCAGGUGGGCGAUGUGAUCGGCUGCUUUAAGACUCUUGACUAGCAUGUCAUCUAUAUAUACUUCCAUAGUUUUCCCAAUUAGUUCCUUGAACAGCUUUCAUCAAUCUCUAGUAGGUUGCCCCAGCAUUCUUUAAUCCGAAUAAGAUGACCUUGUAGCAAUAUAGUCCUCGUUCCAUGAUAAAAGAAGUAUUUUCCACGUCGGGAGGGAACAUCUUGAUCUGUGAUAACCAAGAAGGCGUCCAUGAAGCUAAGGAGCUUAUGCUUGGAGGUUGCAUAAACUAUUAAGUCGAUUUUUGGCACUAUCUUUUGGACAUGCCUUGUUGAGGUCGGUAAAAUCUACACAUACUCUCCAUUUUCCCCUUUUUAAGGACGACAACAACAUUGGAAAGCCAAUCUGGGUAGUGGGCCUCUCGGAUGACAUUGGCCUUGAUCAGUUUGGCUACUUCCUCAAUGACUUUUAAGCGCUCAAGGGCGAACUUCAUCUCUUUUGGCGAACUGGGUGGUACUCGGGAUUGGUAAACAGUUUAUGAAUGGCAACCUAUGGGACAAUGCCUGGGACAUCACCUUAGGACCAGGCAAAGACGUCAUAAUUUUCCUUUAGAAAGUUUACCAGGGCGGAACGUAGUUCGCUAUCAAGCUCGGUACCGAUCAUAACAUGGUAAUCCGAAUAGUUUGGGUGAAUGGAAAUUGGAGUGACUUCUUCCAAGGUUUUGGUGUUUUCCGUCUCCUGGGGGUCCACUAAGAUAACCUGUUCCACCUCGCCCCUCAAAGGUUCCAUCUCGGCAUCGGCGAUCUGUAAUUGCUAUUGGACAUUUGGGGCUGGGGAGGUUCUAGCCUUCAUGGUUGAAAUAAAACAUUGCCUGGACACUUAUUGAUCGCCUCUUGCCUCUCCCACCCCUAUUGAUGUGAGAAACUUCAUUUUCAGGUGGUAGGUUGAGGUGAUCAUCACCUUAGUCCCUCUUAAAGUAGGAUGACCUAAAAUUGCGUUGUAGGGCGAAAGGUAGUCCACAAUGAUGAAAUCCUGCCAAACGGUGGUUUGAUGUGGCUCCAUUCCCAAGGUCACUGGUAACUUGAUCCACCCAUGUGGAUGCGUCGUAUUUCCUCCAAAUCCGACUAUUUUCAUUUUGUCGAAAGCCAAGAUGAACAAGAUGUCUGUCGAAUUGCCGUUGUCAACCAGUAUUUUUUGUAUGUUAAAUUUGGCGAUGACAGCAGAGACGACCAAGGCAUCUUCGUGGGGGAGGCGCAAGCCCCUCAAAUCGUCAUUGUUGAAGGUAAUCGGCGGGUGGGCAUCGAUGACUGGCGAGAAGAGGUUGUAGACCUCUUCUUCGGUCCAUCCAUGAGCGUUUCUGGCAUGCCUCUUUCUGGACGAGCUUGAACAUCCGCUGGAUCCGAAUCCACUAUGGAUCACCUGAAUAUCUCUCGCGGUUGGUCUAUUAUCGCCAUAUCUCUUUUCUGGCGAGUUGGGCGGUAGGCGAAUAACAACAUAUUUCCUUAGAUAUCCCUUCUUAAUAAGGUCAGCUAUCUGUUCUUUUAGCUGAAAGCAGUCUUCAGUGUUAUGUCUGUGAUCUUGAUGGAACUCACAAUAUUUAUUCUUGUUUCUCUUUUGGGGGUCGGUCUUAAUUUUUUCAAGCCACUUGACAAACUACUCAUGUUUGAUUUUUGUAAGCAUCUGGGCGAUAAGAGCACUAAGGGAAGGCAAAAUCAAUUCUGGGUAGCAAGGUGGAGUACGGGGGCGCAUCUCAUUGGUCCGCUUUGAAUUUUGAGUAGAACUCUUAUUUCUUGCCGCAUCCCUAUAGUCAGAUUGCCUUGUGUCUGGCUCCUUUCUCUUAUGAUCGUCUUUCCCUCAUCGCCUUCGCUUGGCCUCAGCCAAUUCUUCCCGGCAAUGUAUUUGUCAGCUUUGCUUUGGAGGGUGAACAAAAUCUCGGGGACGUUUUUGGAUAAGGAAUUGAACAAAGGACCAGGGCGAAGUCUGGCCAUGAUCACCACCUUGUCGCUAGGAUCCUUUACUUCCAAGAUGGCUUGGUUGAACUGUUUCACGUAAUCUUUUAGAAGCUUGGUCUCCUUCUUGUAAAUAGUGAACAGGUGGGAGGCAUUUUUCUGCCUGACCUGGCAGCUCAUGAAGUUGGUGACAAAGAGUCUGCUCAAAUCUCCAAAUGAGUCGAUGGUUCCAGGUGGUAAUUUUCGGAACCACGACCUCGCCGACCCCUUCAGGGUGGCAGAAAAAGCCUUGUACAUUACCUUGUCCAAGCAUCCCUGGAGAGUCAUCAUACUUUUGUAGCUUAAAUUUGGAGGAAACCCUGACUCUUAUCACCCUAUUCGUGAACGGCGGCUCGGUCUGCUUAAUCAAAACAUCCAUGGUGUCUAGUGCGCCCACACCUGUGUUAAUGGCAUCAAGGCGGGCAUUUAGAUCUCGAAUCUUUUGGGAGGUGGAAGUGCUUUGGCGCCUGGGCGCUUGAUCAUUUCGUCAAGGAGAUCUUCCUCUCCUGACUUCCUCGCCUUCUGCUUCUGGAGUUUUGCUGGAUGAUUGGGACUCUGAGGAAGAACCCCUAUCCCACUGAGGGCAUGGUGUGGGAGACCAUUGUCACCUAACUCGACCGGUACUAUGGUGGCUCUGGGACAUUUCAUUCCAGACCAACGAGGU
rnacentral:lncRNA from 1 species